CCUGCCGCUGCCCGCUUCCUCCUCCCCUACGGCUGCGGCCUGGCGGGCAUGGUCGCCCAGUCGCCGCCUCUUCCAUGCGGCCUGGUGCAAUCGAGCACUCCAAUCACUAAUCCAAGCAGGUGGACCUCACCCAACCCUUCCUCCAAUGGCGUUUUGCCGUGACUUGCAGUGCAGGAUCAAGGAUGACGGGGUUCAUAGAUCUCCCGGCCGCGGGUGGGUUCAGCUUCGACCUGUGCCGCCGGAGCAAUGUGCUCGGGUCGAAUGGGCUCAACCUCCCGGGAUUCAGGAAGACUAGGACAACCACGUGUUGGCUUCCAUAAACCUGGGGGAAAAGGCAGUCAGGCACAAGGGCAACUGAGGGGCCUAUAGCUGCUGAUAAGAACUGCGAGAAGAUUCACUUUAUGGCGCCAAACAAAUAUUGCUGUGGGAGCAGGAACUGCUGCUGACACGGUUACAGACAUGGUUAGCUCCCAGCACAGCUGCACCGUUAUGCGCUACAGCUGCACCGUUAUGCAACAGGCCGUGAAUUAAGAGUUGUAGCUGCUCUUACACUGCUGAAAUCACACUCUUCAGGUAUCAAGGGCGUGUCAGUGCUGCCCUUGUUCUUGGUGCAGUGGAGUGUACUGGACCACAUCUUCACACUGUUUAUUCACAUGGAUCCACUGAUACUCUUCCUUUUGCCACAAUGGGUUCUGGAUCUCUUGCUGCAAUGUUUAUCUUUGAAUCGAGUCAAUGGUCAUGGCAGCAUGAUAGGCUGGCGCUCCUCCUUCCGUUCUUCACCAAGCUCCAAGCACCAGCUCGGGUAAGUUUAGCUGAGGCAUUAUUAUGGGUAAGUAACACAAGAAGUUCAGUGUUGAGGUUGCACCUGCUGCUCUCUUGGUUCCAGAGGGUAAAUCUGUAAAGAACGGGAAGAGAAAUGCAGAAGAUGAAAUUGAGAAGGUUGUGAGUGCCAAGAAACAAAAGCUACCUGAAAAGGUCGUGCCGGUUAAGAAGCAGCCCCCUCCAAAGAAAGUAGAGAGCAGCAGCUCUGAGGAGGAUUCUUCAGAUUCUGAAGUGGAGGUGCUAUCACGUUCUUCUCUUUUGGCUCAUGUUUGACCCUUAGUUAUAAACUUAUAAUCAUAAGCUAUAUGCUUGAACUGACUGCUUUGCUUUACUAUGUCCAAGGUAACAAAUAACGGUAACCAGGUCUGUAGCAGAUUGAUGUCUACAUCGUGGAUUACGUAUAGCGGACUUAAGUUCCAAUAAUAUUAUCUAAUAAUCUCAUAUAAUUUAGAUAUAUGUAUAUCUUAAAUAAUGACUUUUUUAAACAUUAGCAAAUUAACUAAGUACAAAUUAAUAAUAGACUAAUAAACAUAUAACUUAAAUAAUAUAGAUAUUUAAUUGUAUUUGGAGAGUUGAUUCUCGAUCAAAUAUAUCUUAAAUUAAGAAUGAACUAGUUAUGUUCUAGACUUGGGCUGCUAUAGCGGAUUGCUACGUCAAAUAAUGGCCGCUAUAGCGGCUUGCUGUGUCAAAUUGCGGGCGCUAAGUUCCAACCCACCAUGUUGUAGCGGUAGUGGUAAGGGGCCGCUAUUGCGGCUGCUACAAACGCUAUUUAGUACCUUGACUAUGUCAAAAACUCAUAAUUGAUUGUACGGUAGUGUUUUCAUUGUUACAUAUUCUGUGUGCUAUUGAUUGAUUUUAUUUAGUUUCUCUGAUACUCUUAGGCUUGAGAGCUAGCUGUGUGCUAUCUAUUUGGUGUUGCAAUUCCUUUAUUGAAUAUGUGAGAAAAGUUUAUAAUAUGUUUAAAGUAACCAAUUGCAUAAAAAUGUAUGUCAUCAAGGAAAAGGCAACAAAAAAAUUCCUUAUCAUUCUUUGGUAUCUGGAUAUGAUCAUCUAAAUACCUAGAACUGAGAUUUAACAUCAAUUAUUUGUUAGAUGUUUGUAUUAUUGUUUCACAUGCUGUUAAUACCUUGGUUGUCAAUUACAACAGUGUUUGAAAAGCAACAUGGUUUUGCACCUUUUGCUUUUCUCCUUGAUAUAUAUUAACAAAGAAAAAAUUUACUUGUUUAAUGACAUCAGUUUGCAGUUCCUCUUGUGCUUAAGAGGAAGCUAGUGUAUGAAUGAAACUUUGGCUUUUCAUUUGAUUUCUGUUAGAAACUUCUUACUAGAAAAAAGACAUGUUUGCAGGCUAAGGUCCAGCCCAAGAAGGUUAUUCAACCAAAGAAAGGUACACAACCUGCUAAACAGGAGUCCAGUGAUGACAGUAGCUCUGAGAGCUCCUCAGAUGAUGCAAGCAUUAUCCACUUGCUUUUGGGGCUUUCUUUUUACUAAGAUCAUACAUACUUAUUUUUUUCCUUAAAUUAAGAACCUUCCAAAAAACCAGUUGCCGGUAAAUAAGCCACCUGCCAGUAGUCGCAGCAGUGAUGACAGCAGUGGCAGUGAUGAUAGCAGUUCUGAUGAGGAACCUGCAAAAAAGCCCACUGUCCUUUCAAAGAAGCCUGUCACAGCAGUUAGUAAUGGUUCGAAACAGGUUAAGUCCGAUAGCAGCAGCUCCGACAGUAGCUCAGAUGAGGAUGAAAAACCUGCUGCUAACCCAAAGAAGCCUGUUGCCUCUGUGCAAAAGAAGACCCAAGAAUCUGAUAGCUGUGACAGUGAUUCUGAUGAAGAUAAAUCAGAAGAUUUAAUUUAUUUGUGGAUUCAUAUGUUGCACUUGUUUCUUAAUUCAUGCAUCUUUGGUAGUUGUUCUUUGUCAAAUAUAGUUUGUCAGUAAUAUUCUUUAUUCAUGCAUCUUCGAUAGCUGUUCUUCGUCAAACAUAAUUUGUCAGUAAUAAUCCUGACACAAACAAUAUCUGUAGGAUAUUCGUGCUAAAGCUCCAGUAGUAGCGAAGAAAAAGGAAGAAUCCAGCGUAAUCCACACAUUUUUUAAUAGAGAUAGCAGAGAGCAAACUCUAAAUCAUAUUUGGUAUGGCCAGUGGUGAAGCUACAUACACAUUAGGGGGUGCAAAUGUAUCUCUAAAAUUAUAAAAACAGUGAUUAGGUCUAAAAUUUCACUAUAUAUGCACCUUCUAUAAAAGAUGUCUAUACAACCACAAGCUAAAUGCAUCCCCUCUAAUUUGCUCUAGC